rnacentral:rRNA from 1 species
GAUGAACGCUGGCGGUAUGCUUAACACAUGCAAGUCGAACGGACUCUUCGGAGUUAGUGGCGGACGGGUGAGUAACGCGGGAGAAUCUGGCUUUGGGUUCGGGACAACCACUGGAAACGGUGGCUAAUACCGGAUGUGCCGAGAGGUAAAAGAGAAAUUGCCUGAAGAUGAGCUCGCGUCUGAUUAGCGAGUUGGUGAGGUAAAGGCUCACCAAGGCAGCGAUCGGUAGCUGGUCUGAGAGGAUGACCAGCCACACUGGGACUGAGACACGGCCCAGACUCCUACGGGAGGCAGCAGUGGGGAAUUUUACGCAAUGGGCGAACGCCUUACGGAGCAGUACCGCGUGAGGGAAGAAGGCUCUUGGGUUGUACACCUCUUUUCUUAGGGGAGAACAAAAUGACGGUACCUAAGGAAGCAGCAUCGGCUGACUCCGUG